rnacentral:rRNA from 1 species
AACGAACGCUGGCGGCAUGCCUAACACAUGCAAGUCGAACGGGUACCUUCGGGUGCUAGUGGCGCACGGGUGCGUAACGCGUGGGAAUCUGCCCUUGGGUUCGGAAUAACUCAGCGAAAGCUGUGCUAAUACCGGAUGAUGUCGAAAGACCAAAGAUUUAUCGCCCGAGGAUGAGCCCGCGUUGGAUUAGCUAGUUGGUGGGGUAAAGGCCUACCAAGGCGACGAUCCAUAGCUGGUCUGAGAGGAUGAUCAGCCACACUGGGACUGAGACACGGCCCAGACUCCUACGGGAGGCAGGAGUGGGGAAUAUUGGACAAGGGGCGAAGGCCUGAACCAGCUAUGACGCGUGAGUGAUGAAGGCCUGAGGGUUGUAAAGCUCUUUUACCCGGGAUGGUAAUGACAGUACCGGGAGAAUAAGCACCGGCUAACUCCGUG